rnacentral:rRNA from 1 species
CAGUCGAACGGAGCUUAGAGAGCUUGCUUUUUAAGCUUAGUGGCGAACGGCUGAGUAACGCGUGAGUAACCUGCCCUAGAGUGGGGGACAACAGUUGGAAACGACUGCUAAUACCGCAUAAGCCCACGGUACCGCAUGGCACUGAGGGAAAAGGAUUUAUUCGCUUUAGGAUGGACUCGCGUCCAAUUAGCUAGUUGGUGAGGUAACGGCCCACCAAGGCGACGAUUGGUAGCCGGACUGAGAGGUUGAACGGCCACAUUGGGACUGAGACACGGCCCAGACUCCUACGGGAGGCAGCAGUGGGGGAUAUUGCACAAUGGGGGAAACCCUGAUGCAGCGACGCCGCGUGGAGGAAGAAGGUUUUCGGAUUGUAAACUCCUGUCGUUAGGGACGAUAAUGACGGUACCUAACAAGAAAGCACCGGCUAACUACGUGCCAGCAGCCGCGGUAAAACGUAGGGUGCAAGCGUUGUCCGGAAUUACUGGGUGUAAAGGGAGCGCAGGCGGGAAGACAAGUUGGAAGUGAAAACCAUGGGCUCAACCCAUGAAUUGCUUUCAAAACUGUUUUUCUUGAGUAGUGCAGAGGUAGAUGGAAUUCCCGGUGUAGCGGUGGUAUGCGUAGAUAUCGGGAGGAACACCAGUGGCGAAGGCGGUCUACUGGGCACCAACUGACGCUGAGGCUCGAAAGCAUGGGUAGCAAACAGGAUUAGAUACCCUGGUAGUCCAUGC